rnacentral:tRNA from 1 species
UGGGAUGUGGCUUAGUGGUACAGCACUUGCCUUGUACGGGCAAGACCCUGGGUUCAAUCCCCAGCACCCCAA